AACGAACGCUGGCGGCAGGCUUAACACAUGCAAGUCGAACGGAUCCUUCGGGAUUAGUGGCAGACGGGUGAGUAACGCGUGGGAACGUACCCUUUGCUACGGGAUAACUCAGGGAAACUUGAGCUAAUACCGUAUGUGCCCUACGGGGGAAGGAUUUAUCGGCAAAGGAUCGGCCCGCGUUGGAUUAGCUAGUUGGUGGGGUAAUGGCCUACCAAGGCGACGAUCCAUAGCUGGUCUGAGAGGAUGAUCAGCCACACUGGGACUGAGACACGGCCCAGACUCCUACGGGAGGCAGCAGUGGGGAAUAUUGGACAAUGGGCGCAAGCCUGAUCCAGCCAUGCCGCGUGAGUGAUGAAGGUCUUAGGAUUGUAAAGCUCUUUCACCGGUGAAGAUAAUGACGGUAGCCGGAGAAGAAGCCCCGGCUAACUUCGUG
rnacentral:rRNA from 1 species